rnacentral:rRNA from 1 species
CUUAAACGAACUAAGGACCUGGCCGUUAUCCUUAAGUUAGACUUCGAGAAAGCAUACGACCGUGUUAACUGGAACUUCUUGCAUCAGGUCCUCCUUAGUAGAGGUUUCUCGGCCGUGUGGGUACACAGAGUCAUGCAACUGGUCACGGGUGGCCAGACUGCGAUCUCGGUGAACGGGGAGAUAGGGAGUUUCUUCCGGAACAAGCUGGGACUGCGUCAGGGUGACCCCAUGUCACCGCUCCUAUUCAAUUUUGUGGUCGACGCCCUUGCGGCAAUGCUUAGGAGGGCGACCACGGCUGGCCACAUCAAGGGAGUGGUUGGCCACCUUUUCCCGGGGGGAUCUCGCACUUGCAGUACGCAUGAAGGAAAUAUGCCCUAG